UACGUAGGGUGCGAGCGUUGUCCGGAAUUAUUGGGCGUAAAGAGCUCGUAGGCGGUCUGUCGCGUCGGCUGUGAAAACCCGAGGCUCAACCUCGGGCCUGCAGUCGAUACGGGCAAACUGGAGUGUUGCAGGGGAGACUGGAAUUCCUGGUGUAGCGGUGAAAUGCGCAGAUAUCAGGAGGAACACCGGUGGCGAAGGCGGGUCUCUGGGCAACAACUGACGCUGAGGAGCGAAAGCGUGGGGAGCGAACAGG
rnacentral:rRNA from 1 species